rnacentral:rRNA from 1 species
ACUGAGUGGCGGACGGGUGAGUAACGCGUGGGUAACCUGCCUCACACAGGGGGAUAACAGUUGGAAACGACCGCUAAUACCGCAUAACCCGCUGGUACCGCAUGGUACUGACGGAAAAGAUUUAUCGGUGUGAGAUGGACCCGCGUCUGAUUAGCCAGUUGGCAGGGUAACGGCCUACCAAAGCGACGAUCAGUAGCCGGCCUGAGAGGGUGAACGGCCACAUUGGGACUGAGACACGGCCCAAACUCCUACGGAAGGCAGCAG